UUCAUUAGUUGGCCUAUCCGUUGCAAGUGCUAGAGCACCUAAUGUAUCCAUGAUGAGGUUCACCCAUAGCAGUUGAACCGUAGUCAACGGAACCUCACCGGCUGAAACUGCUGCAAUGAAGUUGAUCACGAGAGCUGCGACAUUUACGGUAAGUUGAAAUUGAAUGAAUUUUUGUAUGUUAUUGUAAACACAUCUUCCCCACCUUAAAACUGUGGCAACUGAGCUAAAAUUGUCAUCUAAGAUGACAAUGUCCGAGCUCUCCUUGGCUACCUCAGUGCCUUGAAUGCCCAUUGAAAGUCCGAUAUCAGCUUCUUUUAGUGCAGGAGCAUCAUUGGUGCCAUCCCCUGUGACCGCGACCACAUGACCUUUCUGUUUCAAGCACUGUACCAUCAAAAGCUUGUCAAAUGGUGAGGACCUUGCCAUCACCCGGAUCUUUUCUACCUUCUCCAUUCUCUCAUCAGGUGCGUAAUUUCGAAACUCGAUUCCUUCAACUACUUCUCCACUUCCUUGCUGGUAAUCUGGUCCUAGAAUUCCACAUUCUGUAGCUAUAGCUUUAGCUGUGAACAUGUUGUCUCCAGUAAUCAUUUUGAUGCUCACCCCUGCAGAUUGGCAAGCCUGCACAGCUUUCUUGACCCCUGGCCGACAUGGAUCCUUUAAACCAACUAUCCCAAGCAAGGUUAAACCAUCUUCUUUUAUUCCACGAUUCGUCUUUCUGCUUUGAUCAUCACCAUCUUCUGUCUCUCCUUUCAAAACUUGCUUAUGAGCAAAAGCAAUGCAUCGUAGACUACUGGCUGCCAUGCUUUGGAUUAUGGUUUCGAUUCUGUCCCUUCCGUCUUCGUUCAUCGACCGUAUGGUCCCAUUGCUUUCAUAAUAUUGUGAACACAUGGCUACAAUCAUCUCUGCAGCUCCUUUCCAAUGUAUGUGUACCAUUUCAUCAGCCUUUUUCUGAACUGAUACCCCGCUACGCUUUUUCUCCGAGUUGAAGGUUUCAACGUGGAGAAUGCUGUAUUGUUGCUUCAGCUUUUCAAUAUUCAUAUCCAAGCCUAGGACACCCCAAGACAGAAUUGCCUUCUCGGUUGGACUGCCUGAAAACUCGGGAAGGGAUCCCGAGACAGGUUUGCAGACACUA
rnacentral:lncRNA from 1 species